rnacentral:rRNA from 1 species
UACGUAGGAUCCAAGCGUUGUCCGGAUUUACUGGGUGUAAAGGGUGCGCAGGCGGACUGGUUAGUCUGGGGUGAAAUCUCAUCGCUUAACGGUGAAACUGCCUUAGAUACUGCCAGUCUUGAAUCAGCGAGAGAUAUGCGGAAUUCCGAGUGUAGCAGUGAAAAUGUGUAGAUAUUCGGAAGAACACCAGUGGCGAAGGCAGCAUAUUGGCGCUCGAUUACGCUCAGGCACGAAAAGCAUGGGGGAUCAAAACAGG